rnacentral:rRNA from 1 species
CAGUCGCCGCGGGAAAACGAAGGGUGCAAGCGUUACUCGGAAUUACUGGGCGUAAAGCGUGCGUAGGUGGUGGUUUAAGUCCGUUGUGAAAGCCCUGGGCUCAACCUGGGAAUUGCAGUGGAUACUGGGUCACUAGAGUGUGGUAGAGGAUAGUGGAAUUUCCGGUGUAGCGGUGAAAUGCGUAGAGAUCGGGAGGAACAUCAGUGGCGAAGGCGGCCAUCUGGGACAACACUGACGCUGAGGCACGAAAGCGUGGGGAGCAAACAGGAUUAGAUACCCGCGUAGUCCCUGUCUCUUAUAC